UACAGAGGGGGCAAGCGUUAUUCGGAAUUAUUGGGCGUAAAGGGCGCGUAGGCGGCUUUGCAAGUGACGGGUGAAAUCCCUCGGCUUAACCGAGGAACUGCCUGUCAGACUGCAUGGCUUGAGACCGGGAGAGGUGAGUGGAAUUCCCAGUGUAGCGGUGAAAUGCGCAGAUAUCAGGAGGAACACCGGUGGCGAAGGCGGGUCUCUGGGCCGAUACUGACGCUGAGGAGCGAAAGCGUGGGGAGCGAACAGG
rnacentral:rRNA from 1 species